UCAAUGGCAAAAGGGCAUACUGCUGUUAUUGUCAGUGAGGGGUCAGUAGUUUAAAUGAUGAAACGCUGGGGAUCAGCAUAAAAUAAACCAACUGCAUUGCAUGUAAGUAUCAAGUACAUGAGCAGAGACAGCCCCUGGUUUACAAACACCUGACUUAAACAUUGUCCGUCCUACAAGACAGGGAAGGAGGAAGACGCUUCAAAAGGUUGGAACAGUUGAAGGAGCGCUGACACGGUAAAGGCCACUUUGCUCACCAGCACCAGGCGCGCUGCCGAAAAUUUCCAUGCCGUUUUCUCCCAAGACCUUACUCCUACUACGUGGAGACAUAUUUGAAUUAAAAAAAGCCCUCUUUUAAAAGUCAAAAUUCUG
rnacentral:lncRNA from 1 species